rnacentral:rRNA from 1 species
CCUGGCUCAGGAUGAACGCUAGCUACAGGCUUAACACAUGCAAGUCGAGGGGCAGCAUGGUCGAAGCUUGCUUCGACUGAUGGCGACCGGCGCACGGGUGCGUAACGCGUAUCGAACCUGCCCUAUACACGGGGAUAGCCUUGCGAAAGUAAGAUUAAUACCCGAUGCCAAGUUGAGAUCGCAUGAUUUUGAUUUGAAAGAAAUUCGGUAUAGGAUGGCGAUGCGUCUGAUUAGGUAGAUGGCGGGGUAACGGCCCACCAUGCCGACGAUCAGUAGGGGUUCUGAGAGGAAGGUCCCCCACAUUGGAACUGAGACACGGUCCAAACUCCUACGGGAGGCAGCAGUGAGGAAUAUUGGUCAAUGGGCGAGAGCCUGAACCAGCCAAGUAGCGUGAGGGAAGACUGCCCUACGGGUUGUAAACCUCUUUUGUUUGGGAAUAAAGUGCGGGACGUGUCCCGCAUUGCAUGUACCAUUUGAAUAAGGACCGGCUAAUUCCGUG